UCACCAUUCACGAUGCUCACAUCCACACU
rnacentral:sRNA from 1 species